UGUGCAUUUUGGGCAGCGUGUCCCUAUUUCUGGGCCAACUGUGUCCAUUUGGGUCCAUUUGUGGCUCAUUUGGUGCAGCAAUAAUCAUAGAAUCAUAGAAUCGCUAAGGUUGGAAAAGCCCCACAGGACCACCAGUCCAACCAUCCGCCCAUCACCAAUAGUUUUGACUAAACCACGUCCCUCAGCACAGCAUCCCAACGCUCUUUGAACACCUCCGGGCUCGGUGACCCCACCACCUCUCUGUGCAGCCCAUUGCAGCGCCGGACCACCCUUUCAGCCA
rnacentral:lncRNA from 1 species